CCGGUGUCGACUUACUAGCUGCAAGCCUCUGCCUGCCUUCCUGCGCGCCGUUCCCCGCUAGUCGCUGCUGCUGGCGCGCACUCGCCGGGUUUUUCCUCCCACGGCCUCGAGAUGGUGGUGAAUGUGGCACGGAGGAGCCGGGCCUUCCAACCCGGUGGGCCCGAGCUCCGAAAGGCCCCCUCGGCAGUGAGAGGGGCGGGAGCCCGCGGGGGCCGCGCCCUUCUCUCGCUUCGGACUGCGCAACGCUGCGCUCUGGGCUGACAGGCGGAUAAAACGGUCCCAUCAAGACUGAGAAAAAGCACACCAGCUAUUGGCACAGCGUGGGCAGUGGGGCCUACAGGAUGACUGACUUAGUCUACAGAGAUCCCGGCGUACUUAAGCAGGUAGUAAUGAUGGACAGAUGAAGACUCUUAAGAUGACAGAAGGUGAUUUUUCUGGUGAUCGAGGACUUCCGGGGUAAUGACAGUGAUGAAAUGCAGGGGACCUGGUUGCCCCCAAGUUUCCUGGCAGUGUGUGAUACUGAGGAGGUGAGCUUGUUUCUGGAGCUGUGCUUUAAGGUAAAGUUGAUCAGCUUAAUCCUCCUGAUCCCUUUCCCAUCGGAUCUGAACACUGGUCUUGGUGGUCGUAAAAGGAGGAAAAGUAAUAGUGAAGCUGGCCUAAAUGUUGUAAUCUGGUAUAUGGCAUGUGGGCUAGUUUCAGACAGGUUUCAGAGAUGGUUGGAUCUCUGAAAUUGUAAAAUGAAGUAUAAUCUUAGGCUAAGGGAAGGAUGCGUGUGAAGCUCUGGAGAUUCAUGUUACAUGUAAAGCUGUCCUCAUUUGUGACUAUGGACCUAUGGAGUUGGGACAAUCUCUAUGGGAAGCAGAAGGCAAGGACCCCGGUCAUUUUAGGUAGAAACAACAGCAUGCUAAUGCAAAAAAUUAUGCAGUGUGCUACUGAACUUCAGAGGUGAUCAAUAAAAGAAGAAUAAAA
rnacentral:lncRNA from 1 species